rnacentral:rRNA from 1 species
GAUGAACGCUGGCGGCGUGCCUAAUACAUGCAAGUCGAGCGAACAGACGAGGAGCUUGCUCCUCUGACGUUAGCGGCGGACGGGUGAGUAACACGUGGAUAACCUACCUAUAAGACUGGGAUAACUUCGGGAAACCGGAGCUAAUACCGGAGAAUAUAUUGAACCGCAUGGUUCAAUAGUGAAAGACGGUUUUGCUGUCACUUAUAGAUGGAUCCGCGCCGCAUUAGCUAGUUGUUAAGGUAACGGCUUACCACGGCAACGAUGCGUAGCCGACCUGAGAGGGUGAUCGGCGACACUGGAACUGGGACACGGUCCAGACUCCUACGGGAGGCCGCAGAAGGGAAUCUUCCGCAGUGGGCGAAAGCCUGACGGAGCAGCGCCGCGUGAGUGAUGAAGGUCUUCGGAUCGUAAAACUCUGUUAUUAGGGAAGAACAAAUGUGUAAGUAACUAUGCACGUCUUGACGGUACCUAAUCAGAAAGCCACGGCUAACUACGUG